rnacentral:lncRNA from 1 species
UAAUAGCAAUAGAUAGAUAGAUAUUUAUGUUAUCUAAGAUGCUUCCUUUCUCCUCAUCACCAUCUUGUUCCUUCCUUCAUUUAUGAAAAAGCCCCCUUCAUCACCAUGACUCCAUUCUUCAAAAUCACCAUUUGAUUCCUUUGUCUUCAAAUCGAGAGAAAAAGGCCUUCGUUCUUUAUUAUUUUAAGAAAAAAUUGUAUAUUCGAAAGUACCAUAAUGGCCUUCACUUAAAUGAAAAAUUCCUCCACUAUCCUCAAUCCUCAACCUACGAAUUCGAACGAUUCUUUCACUGAUUCUCUCGCGUCGCCACUCGCCGCCACUGCUGCACUAGCCGCCGGCGCAACUGCUCCGAUCGAACGAACUCUCCUCUCUUUUCUGUAAGUUCAUCUCUCUC